AUGCUUUCCCGUCUCCUCCCACGCCGCCACCACCGUCGCCUCCUCCAAACCCUACAACCGGCAGCCGCCGCCGCGGGUGAACUCCACCAGAGGUUGUGCUCUACCGCGGCGGCAUCGAGCCCAAGCCUUUCGAUAUGGCGGCGGAAGAAGGAGAUGGGGAAGGAAGGCCUCAUGGCGGUCGCGCAGCUCAAGCGGCUCGCGGCGCUACCCCCUGCCGGAGGCCACCAGAGGCUGGUGGAGUACAUGAAAUUGCAUGUGUCUCGGCUCCUCCGCACCGACCUCCUCGCCGUCCUCGCUGAACUGCUCCGCCAGGACCACGUCAUCCUCUCCAUGAAGAUAUAUGGCGUUGUGAGGAGAGAGAUCUGGUAUCGGCCAGAUAUGUACUUGUACCGAGACAUGCUACAUAUGCUAGCUAGAAACAAGAAGGUUGACGAGACAAGGCAGGUCUGGGCAGAUCUGAAGUCUGAAGGAGUGCUGUUUGAUCAGCACACUUACGGUGAUAUCGUGCGAGUCUUCUGCGAUGCCGGCUUGAUUGACCUGGCAAUGGAAUUCUACGAAGACAUGAGGAGCUCCCCGGAGCCACCUCUGUCCUUGCCAUUCCGGGUUAUACUGAAAGGCCUGAUCCCAUACCCGGAGCUGAGGGAGAAGAUAAAACAAGAUUUUCUGGAACUUUUCCCUGAUAUGAUUGUGUAUGAUCCCCCGGAUAGCUUGUCCGAUAUAGAUGAUGAAUUCAGAUUUUGA
rnacentral:rRNA from 1 species